rnacentral:rRNA from 1 species
CGUGAUUUGGGCUAUAUUACGGACCCAAAAUUACUUUUUCAAGCAUUGUUUUCGAAUAUUUUUCAUGCAUCAAAGCUCGUUAAGACUAGAUGGGGUAUCCCUACAUGGCGGGUGGGACCCACGGCGAACGGUUCAUCAAGACUUAAAAAAGGAAUAUAUACGAUUGCAUUGCAUAUACUAACGGAUGCGAUCAUACCAGCACUAAUGCACCGGAUCCCAUCAGAACUCCGCAGUUAAGCGUGCUUGGGCGAGAGUAGUACUAGGAUGGGUGACCUCCCGGGAAGUCCUCGUGUUGCAUCCCUCUUUUUUUUUUUUUUUUUUUGGUUAAAACUUUAUGACUCUAUAACUUCUAUACCGUGAGGCCAAACUUGGCAUGUGAUACCUUUUCGGAAAGCCCAAAGAGAGCCCUCCGACGAAAGAAGCAAGACAAUGGAACUUUUCAUUGACUUUUGUCGACUCCAAAUUUGAGCCUUAAGUACUUUUUCGGGAAUACU